AUGGCACUGUCUAAGGGACACUGCUUCUCUAAGAAGCAGUCAGGCCAGGUACGUGGUUCCGUUCGGCCAUUUCUCGCAGCUCCGUGGUUCCCCUUUGUCAGUUCCUCCACACAGGAAGCCAGAGAGUCAGGGGAAUCAGAGUCGAGAGAGCCAAGUGGAGAACAGAAACUAACAUCUAUCGUGCCAGGUCAUGCUAGAAGAAUCCACUGGCCCUUUUGGUCCAGGACUGACCUCUCACGUCCUCCAAAUGGCCAAGUGUCAUCGUAGUUUCUCUAAUUGCAUCCAAGAUUAGAGACAGAUAACAUAUGUUCAGGCUGUGCAACUGAAGGCUCUCCUAAGGCUUCUCUGCAGAAUGACCAGCCGACCUUACAGGGCACUGGAGGAAAACAACAGGAUGAGUACUGUUUCUGUCCACCGGCUUCGGCUAGUUAGCAUGUGGCCAGAAGCUACGAUGGGAGGGUGCAUGCCCCAAAGCCAAGGAUGCUAAGGAGAAAGAAGACCCAGGUAUGCCUGGUUUCCAGCCUGUCAACGUUACUCUUCCUAGAGGCAUCACCAGUCCCAAACGUGAAAAAUCAAGAGUCUUGAGGGAAGGUCAGAUGGAAAUCUCAUCCACGUGACAUAAGAUGGGCACGAAUGGGUGGCACCAUUAGAAUUUCAAAAAUGUCACUUAGAUGGAGAAACCUGGGGUGCUGCAGGGGUCGAGUAACGAGGCUGACAGUCCAGGUGUACAGGCCUGGUGCCAACCACUGUGGGGUGAGGGAGUCAGGAGGUCACCUGGAGCUGGGGUGAGAGUAGUGGAGGAUGAGAAAGGUCCCUAAGGAAGGGUGUUUGGUGUGUCUUCCUUCCAUGCAGGCACUGCCCGCAUCCAUCAGACCUCAGUGAGCAUCCUUUUCUCUGCAUACCCUCGAUGUGGUGUGGGAAGGUAGCUGGGUCUCCGCUCCCGGGUGGCCUCUGAGAAUUCAGGCUUGCCAAGUCCACUAUCAGCUGCCUUCAGGUCCGGGGCAGGCUGCCCGCAAGUGACGUGGGUAUACUGGCCUUGCUCCUCCUGCUCUGUCUCCCGGUGGUAGAAGUAGUUGAAGUUGGAGACGAUGACUGGCACGGGCAAGGCGAUGGUGAGGACCCCGGCGAUGGCACACAGGGAGCCCACGAUCUUGC
rnacentral:lncRNA from 1 species